CCUCCGGAGCAUUCUAUCAAACGUGAGUAGCUUGUCCUUCGAGAUGGCAAAAACGAAUGCGAUGAACGAGGAA
rnacentral:sRNA from 12 species